GACGAACGCUGGCGGCGUGCCUAAUACAUGCAAGUAGAACGCACAGUUUAUACCGUAGCUUGCUACACCAUAGACUGUGAGUUGCGAACGGGUGAGUAACGCGUAGGUAACCUGCCUGGUAGCGGGGGAUAACUAUUGGAAACGAUAGCUAAUACCGCAUAAUAUUAAUUAUUGCAUGAUAAUUAAUUGAAAGGUGCAAUUGCACCACUACCAGAUGGACCUGCGUUGUAUUAGCUAGUAGGUGAGGUAACGGCUCACCUAGGCGACGAUACAUAGCCGACCUGAGAGGGUGAUCGGCCACACUGGGACUGAGACACGGCCCAGACUCCUACGGGAGGCAGCAGUAGGGAAUCUUCGGAAAUGGACGAAAGUCUGACCGAGCAACGCCGCGUGAGUGAAGAAGGUUUUCGGAUCGUAAAGCUCUGUUGUAAGAGAAGAACGGGUGUGAGAGUGGAAAGUUCACACUGCGACGGUAGCUUACCAGAAAGGGACGGCUAACUACGUG
rnacentral:rRNA from 1 species